AUGAUUGAGGGGAGGAGGCAUUCCGUUGAUAUCCCGAUUUCGAGGGCUCUGGUCGCUGUCAUGAGGUCCAGAUCUCUGAGGGACCCAGACACCAACUCGCUGGCCAAGUUCUCAACCAAGAAGACCAUCUGGGAGGGGUGUUCCCUCGAGGAAGAUGACGUGGAGGCAAGCAAUUACGGCAGGCACAGCUUCAGCUACAACAUGUAUGAUCAUGUCCAGAGGAGGAGGGAGGAGUUUGGCAGCCGCCUCGCCAACUCGCCGAUCAACAUUAUCAAGGCCAACGCCCGGGUGAAGGCGGCGCUUCAUAACCAGAACUGCUGCUCUGCGAUCCCCGGGAUGUCGAGAGCUGCCAAGGACAGGGCUUUCUCUCUGGUGAUUGAAGGGGAAGAGCUCGGUCGGAGUGAGCCCCAGGAAGGCGCAAGAAGCUUGCUCCAGAAGUACCGGCCAAAGUCUUUCUCUGAGCUAGCUGGACAGAAUGUUGUUGCACAGUCUCUUUCAAAUGCUGUUUCUCAAGGAAAGCUUGCUCCGAUCUAUCUCCUCCAUGGUCCGCACGGCAUUGGCAAGACAUCCGCGGCUAGGGUAUUUGCAGCGGCGCUGAAUUGCCUCUCUCCAGGUGGGAACCAACCUUGUGGGCACUGCGAGGAAUGCGUGGCCAUAUUCUCAGGAAACAGCAGCAGUGUGGUAGAGGUUGAUGCUUCCAAACUGGAUUGCAAAUCUAGAGUUGCUGUCUUGCUCAGGAAUGCCUGUGAAAUUCCUGCUUCUUCGCACUUCAAGGUACUUAUUGUAGAUGAUUGCCAACAUAUGGACAAGGAGGGAUGGUACUCCAUCUACAGUAGCCUUGAAGGGAUCCCUGCAAGCUCAAUAUUUGUCAUGAUAACAUCCGACAUCGAUAAACUACCAAGCAACUCCGCUGGAUGGUGCCAGAGCUAUAGGUUUUGCAAGAUAGACGAUGCAGAGAUUGUCCGCCGGUUGAGCAAGAUUUGCACAAAAGAAGGUAUGGAGUUCGAAGCUGAAGCGCUGGAGCUUCUUGCUCGCAAGGCAAGUGGUUCCAUUCGGGAUGCAGUUCAAAUGCUUGACCAACUAACUCUGCUCGGAAAAAGGAUCAGCAAAUCAGUAACAUACGACCUAAUAGGUGAUGUCUCAGAUGAAGAGUUGCUUGAUCUUCUUAAUCUGUCUAUGUCAUCAGAUGCUGCUACCAUUGUCCGGAGGGCUAGGGAGCUUUUGAGUUCAAAGGUCGAUCCCAUGCAGCUAUUGGCUCAGCUUGCAAAUCUUAUCAUGGAUAUCUUAGCUGCGAAGCACCCCUCAGAUUCUUCAGAAGUUAGGAAAGUUACUGGAAAAAAUACAUCUGCUGAGGUGGACGUGCACAAACUUCGGAAUGCGCUGGAAAUACUUUCUGAAACCGAAAAGCAAUUGAAAACCACAAAGAACCAGUCCACUUGGCUCACCGCCGCUCUGUUACAGUUCAAUAUGAGAGAGCCUUACUGCCUAGAAGCCCUGGAUGAUACUGCAGUUUCAAGCAUGUUCACAGAGAGUCAAACAGGUGUCUAUUUUUCUGACAAUCAUGCUAUUAAUUAUGCAGACGACGGGGCUGCUGCCCUGAAAGAUGAAAGCUUAGAGACCAGUUCUCAUCUGUGCUACCAGAACAAACUCGGAUGUCUGGAUAUGAAUUUAGGAGAUCCAGAUGUACUGGAGACGAUAUGGAUGAAGGCUCUUGAAAACUGCACAUCUAAGUCACUUCAUAAUCUGUUACAGAAAGAUGGAAAGUUGUCAUCCCUGUACACUACCCAAGGUGUGGCGGUUGCUGAGUUACAAUUCUGUCAUCCUGAGGAGGUGCCAACAUCAGAGAGCUUCUGGAUGCCACUUGUGGUUUCUCUGCAGAAUUUGCUCAAGUGCAAUGUGGACAUUAGGAUCAAUCUUUCUCCAAUCUCCAUCAGCAAUAGGACUGUUUCCAAGAAUUCGUCGGUCAGCCUGGUCAUGCAAUCCAGAGAAGAUCAACAGGCGCAGAAUCCAGUCGCCACAGACUGCAGAACCGUAGCUUCAUCCAGAAGGGAGUGCCCUUUGCCACCGCUCCCAGGACAACAACCCAAGGAGAAAGCAUCUCACAUCCUGGGAUGCCUUCACGGUGCAGAUAGCGACGCGGGAGAUGCGGAGUCAAGGAUCCUGAGCUACCAGAAGAUCUCUGUCAUUCCUGAAGCAUCCACCACAGGGAUUGUCGCCUCGAGAGCUGGAGAGCGCACACCAAAGGUCGACGAACUCAAAGGUCGUCGCCGCGGUGGCUGUUUCUCUGAGAUUCUACCGUGUGGUGCGUGCGCCCCCUCCCGGAAGUCCCAGCCGCGCGACAAGCACAGAGCUCCGCGGCCUCGCAAGGGACUCUUCAGCUGCUGUUUCUGCAAGAUCAGGCCAGACUGCAGAACGAGAGCUGACGCUGUGUACAGGUCCGAAACUCAGGAGGUGUUCCAUGGGUAG
rnacentral:rRNA from 1 species